AGAUAUUUAUAUGUUAACAAGGUUGACUGACACUCAGCGGAACAGCUGAGGGUAUAAACAUUGUGUCAGAGCCGUCAUGUUGUGAUUAGUUGUGACCAUUGAUCAGAGUAUAGGUUGGAUUAUAAGACUUCGAUCAUUUGAAGAGAGACAAUUCCUUAGAAAAUCUUCAUAUAGUUGAUCAUUGAUUCAUCGCCAUGUGUUUUAAAACAAAAUGUGGAGGGUGUGGAAAAUCAACCUGGGCAGGUUGUGGGAACCACAUAGAGACUGCUUUAAAGGACGUUCCCGUUAAUGAGCGCUGCAAGUGUCCGCGGGAAACCAAGAAGUAAGCGGCAAGAUGUUCCAUUCUGUGACAAUGAUGGAAGCCUGAAGAUCACGGAUUUCGAAUUAAGAUCAAUAAACAUCUUUCUGUUGUCUCAUCUGUAAAUAUGUUGAUAAAUUGUAAUUUUUUUAAUUUACAUUUUUAUUUAAGUUAAUAAACUACAUAUCAAACUGCUA